UACAGAGGGGGCAAGCGUUACUCGGAAUUACUGGGCGUAAAGCGUGCGUAGACGGUUAUUUAAGUCAGGUGUGAAAGCCCCGGGCUCAACCUGGGAAUUGCAUUUGAGACUGAAUAGCUAGGGUGCGGAAGAGGGAAGCGGAAUUUCCGGUGUAGCGGUGAAAUGCGUAGAUAUCGGAAGGAACACCAGUGGCGAAAGCGGCUUCCUGGUCCAGCACCGACGUUCAGGCACGAAAGCGUGGGGAGCAAACAGG
rnacentral:rRNA from 1 species